CACAGAGGGUGCAAGCGUUAAUCGGAUUUACUGGGCGUAAAGCGUGCGUAGGCGGCUCGCUAAGUCGGUUGUGAAAUCCCUGGGCUUAACCUGGGAACUGCAGUCGAUACUGGCGGACUAGAGUACGGUAGAGGGUGGCGGAACUCCGGGUGUAGCGGUGAAAUGCGUAGAUAUCCGGAAGAACACCGAUGGCGAAGGCAACCACCUGGGCCUGUACUGACGCUGAGGUACGAAAGCGUGGGGAGCAAACAGG
rnacentral:rRNA from 1 species